UAUCAAGGUGUCGCAAUAACUGAAUGAAUCUAUCGAUUGUAGCGAUACUCGAGGGAUUCUAGAAUUUUCCAGAGUCGUUCUCAGAACUAGCGAGCAACACGAGUCGUGAAAUAAGAAAACCACUAUUUGUGUUCACAGAUGGUGUACAACUAUUCCGAAAAACUCGAUUCUCCUCUACGACACAACGAGCCUGGACAAGUGAGUGGCGCCAUACGCAGCUGGUGGUGACGGGUGGAACUUAAAAUGAUCGGCAGAAAACAAAUGACAGCAGCAGAAUGAAGACGUUUAUCCAGUAAAAAACGAUUGUUUUCGACAAUUCUAGUAGAAAAUUGCCUAAAAAAUCACAAUUUUCAGCAGUUAAUGAGUACAACGAGAUGGCGAAUGAAUCCAUAGCCUCUUCAGCCUCGUUUUUCGAGCCCUCGAUGAAAUAUUCAGAGGAAAAUACUCACAUGCUUUACCAACAUGUGAAGAUGAACCUUCAAGAGAUCCAUAAAAUGGCCACUGACAUCAACGACAACAUGAAGAAUAUCAAGAAGAACAUGUUCGUCACGAUGAAGCUCUUGAACGCCCUCAAGCCUCGUAAUGAAGAAAAAAAUGAUUGAUCGAGUGUUUUCACAGUAUUUUAUUCGUUGAAGUACAUAAUAAAUGGGAAAUAAAAAUAUUUUUUAAAGAGAA